GUCAAACUAUGACCCAUUACUCCUUUUGUAUUUACAGAAAUAAUUUGUUUUCAUUUAAUCUUUCCCUCUCAUCUCUGUCUCUUUCAGGUGAAGUGUUUGAGGAGGGAACUGAUUGAGGUGGAGGAGAGGAGGGACUCUGGCCGUAAGGAUCUGAUGGAGGCCCACUGAGAGCUAAGGGGGUGUUUGCAGGACAGGGACAUUCAGCGGUUUGAGGGUUUGAAACUGAAGAGAGGUUUGGGAGAUGUUGUGAGAGAGAAAGAGGCCAUCCAGGCUUCUUAUAAUGGACUCCGAACAGCUGUGAAGAGAGCAGAGUUUGAAAACAACAGGUUUAGCAUACUACACAUUUUUGAAAUGUUGAUAUCUUUUGUAUUACAUACCUGUUUCCUGUUAGCUUGGCUAGCAGAAUAUAACAUCAGAUCAUCACUUAAUGUGAUUUUGAGUGGACAUAAACAAAAUUUAAUCUAAAACAUUAGUUUCAAAAAGAGGUUCUCUGUAUGGUAUAGCCUAAAUAUCAGCAAUUCCCUGUAAGGCCCAGUUUCUUUAUGGAACAAGAAAUUAGCAUCGUUAAAAAAAUAUUAAUCUUCCUCUGUUUUAGUUCUUUUUUUAUCAGUUUGAGGCGAGUGGGAGAAGAAAAGGAUCAGAGGCUGACAGUGUUAGUGGAAUGUAAAUCCUCCCUCCAGCAGGAGGUGCUGAAGCUGAGAACCAACCAUGCGUGAACUUGAGAAAUCUCGCUUGCAGGCACGCAGAUAAGUGCAGGAACCUGCGCAGACAGGUCAGGGCCCAAGAAAUCAAAGGUUUUUCUUUUAUAAUCAGUGCCUUGACAUUAUUUUAAAAAAUCAGCAUGUCAUAAUUUUUCAGGUUAAAUUGUUUUUAGUUUAGCCAUUUACACAUAUACAAUGGAACAAAAUGUUGUAUUACCAGGUCUGCAGUGCAUCCUCAUCCUCAUCAAGUUUUGUAUACAUUGCAAACAUUUUUGUAAAAUAAAAAAGCGUGUCUCUGAGCAGGUGAAGACAUUACAGGGUCAGUGCACUCAACAAGGGCAAGAGUUGAGUGACAUGCAGGCCACACUGAACCAUGAAGAGCACAGAGAGGAGGAAAUGAGAAAGGAGACCUUUACUCUCAGACAAAGGGUACUGGAAAGCGAUGCUGGCAGAGAAGCAACUCUGAAGGAGGCUGCAGGUUUGCAGCGGCAUGUAGCAGAACUGGAAGAAGCACAGUGCCAGGAGAAAGAGGUGCAGCAACAAUGGCAUGAUAAUCUUCAGGAGAGCCAAGUGAAGCAGUGGGUGGAGGUUGCUCGCUUGGAGUGGGCACUGCAGGAGGCCCAGGCCCAGCUCAAGGAGCUUGGGCUGAAGACGUACACUUGGAAGCGGACGUGGAAGACAGUCGCCCGCACCAUGGAGAACUCGAUCUGGGGAACGGACGGAGUCACUCACCAUGGAGAACUCGAUCACCUGUGA
rnacentral:lncRNA from 12 species